CCCAGACAGCCAGGAUGUUGGCUUAGAAGCAGCCAUCAUUUAAAGAAAGCGUAAUAGCUCACUGGUCGAGUCGGCCUGCGCGGAAGAUGUAACGGGGCUAAACCAUGCACCGAAGCUGCGGCAGCGAAGGUAUCACCCAAGACAACUUUACGGAGUUGACGAUUGACGGAGCGAAGCGACGUCAAAGCGUAUACAAAGUCGAGUUGGCUUAGGGAUACGUUCGUUGGGUAGGGGAGCGUUCUGUAAGCCUGUGAAGGUGGCCUGUGAGGGUUGCUGGAGGUAUCAGAAGUGCGAAUGCUGACAUAAGUAACGAUAAAGCGGGUGAAAAGCCCGCUCGCCGGAAGACCAA
rnacentral:rRNA from 1 species